GAUGAACGCUGGCGGCGUGCCUAAUACAUGCAAGUCGAGCGAACGGACGAGAAGCUUGCUUCUCUGAUGUUAGCGGCGGACGGGUGAGUAACACGUGGAUAACCUACCUAUAAGACUGGGAUAACUUCGGGAAACCGGAGCUAAUACCGGAUAAUAUUUUGAACCGCAUGAUUCAAAAGUGAAAGACGGUCUUGCUGUCACUUAUAGAUGGAUCCGCGCUGCAUUAGCUAGUUGGUAAGGUAACGGCUUACCAAGGCAACGAUGCAUAGCCGACCUGAGAGGGUGAUCGGCCACACUGGAACUGAGACACGGUCCAGACUCCUACGGGAGGCAGCAGUAGGGAAUCUUCCGCAAUGGGCGAAAGCCUGACGGAGCAACGCCGCGUGAGUGAUGAAGGUCUUCGGAUCGUAAAACUCUGUUAUUAGGGAAGAACAUAUGUGUAAGUAACUGUGCACAUCUUGACGGUACCUAAUCAGAAAGCCACGGCUAACUACGUGCCAGCAGCCGCGGUAAUACGUAGGUGGCAAGCGUUAUCCGGAAUUAUUGGGCGUAAAGCGCGCGUAGGCGGUUUUUUAAGUCUGAUGUGAAAGCCCACGGCUCAACCGUGGAGGGUCAUUGGAAACUGGAAAACUUGAGUGCAGAAGAGGAAAGUGGAAUUCCAUGUGUAGCGGUGAAAUGCGCAGAGAUAUGGAGGAACACCAGUGGCGAAGGCGACUUUCUGGUCUGUAACUGACGCUGAUGUGCGAAAGCGUGGGGAUCAAACAGGAUUAGAUACCCUGGUAGUCCAAGGGCGAAUUCCACAGUGGAUAUCAAGCUUAUCGAUACCGUCGACCUCGAGGGGGGGACCGGUACCCAGCUUUUGUUCCCUUUAGUGAGGGUUA
rnacentral:rRNA from 1 species